GGGCUACGAACGAGUCCUUCAACUUUCACCAUCACCGUCGCGAUUCACUGCAUGCCGCCGGAGAUUGUCAUUUCCGCACGCCAGAAGGAGACCGUCGCCGUCGCCGCGUGCUGCACGCCGCCAAAGAAGGAGACUGUCGCCGUCACAGCAAUUCUGAAGCAGACGCCAUCGUCGAAAUCGGAGCACGCUACGCACCUCGCUGUUGACAACGCUGAAUCAGGCAUUGUCGCACGCCAAAUCAGGGGCGUUUGCACACCGUCACCAAGGCUGAAUCAUCGUACCACAGGGCUUCCCCUUUGACGUGAACGAUGAGUUCUGGGAGUUUUCUUCUAUCCGAACGCCCAGCCUGGUCGGCGUCAGCUCGCCGACGCUUAAGGUGGCAGGGAAGGUUUGUUCCCCCUCCGAUGGCCUUACCGUCGGCGAGGAAUGUUGUCGAGGCUGGUUUCGGGGUACAGUCGCAUGUGCA